rnacentral:lncRNA from 1 species
CGCUUCCCUCCUCUACAAAAGAACGAGCCCCGCGAGUUUAAAAUAAAUUAUAAUUAAAAAUACCUGGGGAGCAACACGAGGACUUCCCAAGAGGUCACCCAUCUUAGUACUACUCUCGCCCAAGCACGUUUAACUUCAGAGUUCUGAUGGGAUCCGGUGCAUUAGUGCUGGUAUGAUCGCACCCGUCAUACCUUCCCCGGUCUCGGUAUUUGACCGCUUACCUCCUCUACAAAAGAACGAGCCCCGCGAGUUUAAAAUAAAUUAUAAAGCACCGAUUAAAAAUACUUGGGGUGCAACACGAGGACUUCCCAAGAGGUCACCCAUCUUAGUACUACUCUCGCCAAAGCACGUUUAACUUCGGAGUUCUGAUGGGAUCCGGUGCAUUAGUGCUGGUAUGAUCGCACCCGUCAUACCUUCCCCGGUCUCGGUAUUUGACCGCUUCCCUCCUCUACAAAAGAACGAGCCCCGCGAGUUUAAAAUAAAUUAUAAUUAAAAAUACCUGGGGUGCAACACGAGGACUUCCCAAGAGGUCACCCAUCUUAGUACUACUCUCGCCCAAGCACGUUUAACUUCGGAGUUCUGAUGGGAUCCGGUGCAUUAGUGCUGGUAUGAUCGCACCCGUCAUACCUUCCCCGGUCUCGGUAUUUGACC